CCUACGGGUGGCAGCAGUGAGGAAUAUUGGUCAAUGGACGAGAGUCUGAACCAGCCAAGUAGCGUGAAGGAUGACUGCCCUAUGGGUUGUAAACUUCUUUUAUAUGGGAAUAAAAUGUUCCACGUGUGGGAUUUUGUAUGUACCAUAUGAAUAAGGAUCGGCUAACUCCGUGCCAGCAGCCGCGGUAAUACGGAGGAUCCGAGCGUUAUCCGGAUUUAUUGGGUUUAAAGGGAGCGUAGGUGGAUUGUUAAGUCAGUUGUGAAAGUUUGCGGCUCAACUGUAAAAUUGCAGUUGAAACUGGCAGUCUUGAGUACAGUAGAGGUGGGCGGAAUUCGUGGUGUAGCGGUGAAAUGCUUAGAUAUCACGAAGAACUCCGAUUGCGAAGGCAGUUCACUGGACUGCAACUGACACUGAGGCUCGAAAGUGUGGGUAUCAAACAGGAUUAGAUACCCUUGUAGUC
rnacentral:rRNA from 1 species